AGAGUUUGAUCCUGGCUCAGGAUGAACGCUGGCGGCAUGCCUAAUACAUGCAAGUCGAACGAACUACCCCAUGAACUUGAAGUGCUUGCACGGAUUGGAAUUGGAUUUUGUAGUUAGUGGCGGACGGGUGAGUAACACGUGGGUAAUCUACCCUAUUGUUUGGGAUACCUAUUAGAAAUGAUAGUUAAUACCGAAUAGGUUGUAAGGUCGCAUGAUCUAACAAUUAAAGGCGCUUUCAAGCGUCGCAAUAGGAUGAACCUGCGCAGCAUUAGCUAGUUGGUGAGGUAGUGGCUCACCAAGGCGACGAUGCUUAGCCGGACUGAGAGGUUGAACGGCCACAUUGGGACUGAGACACGGCCCAAACACCUACGGGUGGCAGCAGUAGGGAAUUUUUCGCAAUGGACGAAAGUCUGACGGAGCAAUGCCGCGUGAGUGAUGAAGGUUUUCGGAUCGUAAAGCUCUGUUGUAGGGGAAGAACACUUGGAGUAGGAAAUGGCUUCAAGCUGACGCUUCCUACCAGAAAGA
rnacentral:rRNA from 1 species